UAAAGAGUAUUCAUCCACCUAUCCAUGCAAUUGUGCUAGCAUAAAAAAAUCCACAACAAAAAAGCAAUUUUUCUCAAACUCCACAUCUGAAAAAUUCAAUCUUUUCCCAUUUUUCUUAGAUUUCACCAAACACACUACAAAUUAGUGUAAAACUCUUCAAAAUAAUUUUCUUUUUAUGGAAUUUACAACUGAAAAGUAAACCCGAA
rnacentral:lncRNA from 1 species